rnacentral:rRNA from 1 species
AAUCAACGCUGGCGGCGUGCCUCAGACAUGCAAGUCGAACGAUUAAAGCUCUCUUCGGAGAGUGUAUAGAGUGGCGCACGGGUGAGUAACACGUAAGUAAUCUACCCUCGAGUGGGGAAUAACAACCGGAAACGGUUGCUAAUACCGCAUAAUGCAGCGGCACCGCAAGGUGACAGUUGUUAAAGAUUUAUCGCUUGAGGAGGAGCUUGCGGCAGAUUAGCUAGUUGGUAGGGUAACGGCUUACCAAGGCUACGAUCUGUAACCGGUCUAAGAGGACGGUCGGUCACACUGACACUGAAUAACGGGUCAGACUCCUACGGGAGGCAGCAGUCGGGAAUUUUGGGCAAUGGGCGAAAGCCUGACCCAGCAACGCCGCGUGAAGGAUGAAGUAUUUCGGUAUGUAAACUUCGAAAGAAUAGGAAGAAUUAAUGACGGUACUAUUUAUAAGGUCCGGCUAACUACGUGCCAGCAGCCGCGGUAAGGUGCGCGAGU